CUGGCGGCAGGCCUAACACAUGCAAGUCGAGCGCACUCUUCGGAGUGAGCGGCGGACGGGUUAGUAACGCGUGGGAACAUACCCUUUUCUACGGAAUAGCCUCGGGAAACUGAGAGUAAUACCGUAUACGCCCUUUUGGGGAAAGAUUUAUCGGUAUCGGAUUAGCCCGCGUAAGAUUAGAUAGUUGGUGGGGUAAUGGCCUACCAAGUCUACGAUCUUUAGCUGGUUUUAGAGGAUGAUCAGCAACACUGGGACUGAGACACGGCCCAGACUCCUACGGGAGGCAGCAGUGGGGAAUCUUAGACAAUGGGCGCAAGCCUGAUCUAGCCAUGCCGCGUGAGUGAAGAAGGCCUUAGGGUCGUAAAACUCUUUCGCCAGAGAUGAUAAUGACAGUAUCUGGUAAAGAAACCCCGGCUAACUCCGUGCCAGCAGCCGCGGUAAUACGGAGGGGGUUAGCGUUGUUCGGAAUUACUGGGCGUAAAGCGCACGUAGGCGGACUGGAAAGUUGGGGGUGAAAUCCCGGGGCUCAACCUCGGAACUGCCUCCAAAACUAUCAGUCUAGAGUUCGAGAGAGGUGAGUGGAAUUCCAAGUGUAGAGGUGAAAUUCGUAGAUAUUUGGAGGAACACCAGUGGCGAAGGCGGCUCACUGGCUCGAUACUGACGCUGAGGUGCGAAAGUGUGGGGAGCAAACAGGAUUAGAUACCCUGGUAGUCCACACCGUAAACGAUGAAU
rnacentral:rRNA from 1 species